rnacentral:tRNA from 1 species
GGGGUUGUGGCUCAGUGGUAGAGUACUUGCCUAGCAUGUGUGAGGUGCUCAGUUCAAUUCUCAGCACCUCA